UAGUAACGGCGAGUGAAGCGGCAACAGCUCAAAUUUGAAAUCUGGCUUCGGCCCGAGUUGUAAUUUGUAGAGGAAGAUUUAGGCGCGGCACCUUCUGAGUCCCCUGGAACGGGGCGCCAUAGAGGGUGAGAGCCCCGUAUAGUUGGAUGCCUAGCCUGUGUAAAUCUCCUUCGACGAGUCGAGUAGUUUGGGAAUGCUGCUCAAAAUGGGAGGUAAAUUUCUUCUAAAGCUAAAUAUUGGCCAGAGACCGAUAGCGCACAAGUAGAGUGAUCGAAAGAUGAAAAGCACUUUGAAAAGAGGGUUAAAUAGCACGUGAAAUUGUUGAAAGGGAAGCGCUUGUGACCAGACUUGCGCCGGGCGGAUCAUCCGGUGUUCUCACCGGUGCACUCCGCCCGGCUCAGGCCAGCAUCGGUUCUCGUGGGGGGAUAAAGGCCCUGGGAACGUAGCUCCUCCGGGAGUGUUAUAGCCCAGGGUGUAAUGCCCUCGCGGGGACCGAGGUUCGCGCAUCUGCAAGGAUGCUGGCGUAAUGGUCAUCAGCGACC
rnacentral:rRNA from 1 species